AAGGAUUUAAGUUAAAUUAAACUAUUAACCUUCAAAGUUAUAAAUAAAGUAUAUCUUUAAGCCUUG
rnacentral:tRNA from 1 species